rnacentral:rRNA from 1 species
GAUGAACGCUGGCGGCGUGCCUAAUACAUGCAAGUCGAGCGAACAGACGAGGAGCUUGCUCCUCUGACGUUAGCGGCGGACGGGUGAGUAACACGUGGAUAACCUACCUAUAAGACUGGGAUAACUUCGGGAAACCGGAGCUAAUACCGGAUAACAUGUUGAACCGCAUGGUUCAACAGUGAAAGACGGUCUUGCUGUCACUUAUAGAUGGAUCCGCGCCGCAUUAGCUAGUUGGUAAGGUAACGGCUUACCAAGGCAACGAUGCGUAGCCGACCUGAGAGGGUGAUCGGCCACACUGGAACUGAGACACGGUCCAGACUCGUACGGGAGGCAGCAGGAGGGAAUCUACCGCAAUGGGCGAAAGCCUGACGGAGCAACGAAGCGUGAGUGAGGAAGGUCUUCGGAUCGUAAAACUCUGUUAGUAGGGAAGAACAAAUGUGUAAGUAACUAUGCACGUCUUGACGGUACCUAAUCAGAAAGCCACGGCUAAGUACGUG